rnacentral:rRNA from 1 species
AUUGAACGCUGGCGGCAUGCCUUACACAUGCAAGUCGAACGGUAACGGGCCUUCGGGUGCCGACGAGUGGCGAACGGGUGAGUAAUACAUCGGAACGUGCCCGAUCGUGGGGGAUAACGGGGCGAAAGCUUUGCUAAUACCGCAUACGAUCUACGGAUGCAAGCAGGGGACCGCAAGGCCUUGCGCGGACGGAGCGGCCGAUGGCAGAUUAGGUAGUUGGUGGGAUAAAAGCUUACCAAGCCGACGAUCUGUAGCUGGUAUGAGAGGAUGAUCAGCCACACGGGGACUGAGACACGGCCCAGACUCCUACGGGGAGCAGCAGUGGGGAAUUUUGGACAAUGGGCGCAAGCCUGAUCCAGCCAUGCCGCGUGCAGGAUGAAGGCCUUCGGGUUGUAAACUGCUUUUGUACGGAACGAAAAGCCUUCUUUUAAUACAGGAGGGUCAUGACGGUACCGUAAGAAUAAGCACCGGCUAACUACGUG